rnacentral:rRNA from 1 species
GACGAACGCUGGCGGCGUGCUUAACACAUGCAAGUCGAACGGAAAGGCCCUGCUUUUGUGGGGUGCUCGAGUGGCGAACGGGUGAGUAACACGUGAGUAACCUGCCCUUGACUUUGGGAUAACUUCAGGAAACUGGGGCUAAUACCGGAUAGGAGCUCCUGCUGCAUGGUGGGGGUUGGAAAGUUUCGGCGGUUGGGGAUGGACUCGCGGCUUAUCAGCUUGUUGGUGGGGUAGUGGCUUACCAAGGCUUUGACGGGUAGCCGGCCUGAGAGGGUGACCGGCCACAUUGGGACUGCGAUACGGCCCAGACGCCUACGGGAGGCAGCAGUGGAGAAUAUUGCACAAUGGGCGGAAGUCUGAUGCAGCAACGCCGCGUGCGGGAUGACGGCCUUCGGGGUGUAAACCGCUUUCGCCUGUGACGAAGCGUGAGUGACGGUAAUGGGUAAAGAAGCACCGGCUAACUACGUG